UAGGGAAUCUUCGGCAAUGGCCGGAAGUCUGCCCGAGCAACGCCGCGUGCGUGAAGAAGGUUUUCGGAUCGUAAAGCUCUGUUGUUAGAGAAGAACGUUGGUAGGAGUGGAAAAUCUACCAAGUGACGGUAACUAACCAGAAAGGGACGGCUAUCUACGUCCCAGCAGCCGCGGUAAUACGUAGGUCCCGAGCGUUGUCCGGAUUUAUUGGGCGUAAUGCGAGCGCAGGCGGUUCUUUAAGUCUGAAGUUAAAGGCAGUGGCUUAACCAUAGUACGGUUUGGAAACUGGAGGACGUGAGUGCAGAAGGGGAGGGUGGAAUUCCAUGGGUAGCGGUGAAAUGCGUAGAUAUAUGGAGGAACACCGGUGGCGAAAGCAGCUCUCUAGUCUGUAACAGACGCUGAGGCACGAAAGCGUGGGGAGCAAACAGG
rnacentral:rRNA from 1 species